ACGUAGCCUGAAAAAAAAAAAAAAAAUUGUAAUCAGAUUGACGAAAAAGAUUCGUAAACAAAUCUCUGUGUCUUCGCUCUUUCUCUCAGUUCUGUUCUUUCGCAAAAACAUUUCUAAACUACGUAUAAUAAUUUAUACGCGAAGUACACAGAAUUUUACAAACUUGUAGUUUCUACUUUUUUUUUUUUUUUUUUUUUUUUUUACAUAAACUCGUAUGUGUUACUGUAACGUCCUACUUUCUUCGUCCUAGUCCCCUGAAAUGUAGGUUUCCCCCACCGUUAUCUACUGCAGUAUCAGGUAUACUUUGUUAUAUUGAGAGAGGGAGGCAAGGAAGCACAUGAAACACAUUGCUUUUAUACUUUUAGUUCGAUGUUGAUUCCGUUCCGUUCAUGUACGACUGGUAUAUGCCGGUGCAUCAUAAAUUUACAUGUUAAGUACGUUACGUGCCGAAAAAUUGACCAGUGACUCUCGAUCAAAUUUUGAUACGUAUAAAACUUUCGUAUUUUUUUUUGUUUUUUAAAAUCUAGUUUUUGUACGGGUAUUUUGAUGAGAUCCGUCAAGAUAAAUCAUAAAUCAUAUUUUUAUAAAAAUGUAGCAUACGGCAAAUAAAACAUCGGAUAAAACGCGAAACGGCGCAAGUUCGAGAUUUCUUUCAAAUAUUAUAUUCUGCAAAUAAAUAAAACAUACAUUUGUAAUGUGAACAUUUUCAAAAUUUCCUUUAAGGAGAGAGAACGCGACUCGCAAUAAAUAAUUGAAAGCAAUGUUUUUUUGUGCCUCGCGUUUAGAAAUUUAACUAGAAAAUUCAAGCACGGAUGAGUAUUGAACUUGGCACACUGUGGACAUAAACUUGAACGUACGUUGUAAAGAGAAGAAGAAAAAAAAAAUAUGAAGAAUAUAAAAAAUAUAUAAAAAAAAGAAGACCGGAAGAUAUAUAUAAUGCAAAGAUGUAUUCGGUGUGCUUGACGGUUUUUCUUGUCGUGUCAAUAUGCAACUUGACCGUCCAGCAGCCAACGUUUUUCAGAAGCACAUUCAAAGGACUAAGCGGUCUCACACCGAGCGCUCUCGUGAGUAAUGAGAUAAGAGCGGUGUAUUAUCACGAACAAACAGUGGCGGUGGUCGAUCUCGGUCCGAAUAACGAAUUACGAGAUUGCAAUGUGAUCGAAGUAUACGAACCGAUCGAAGCUAUCCAGGUUCUACAAAACCUGUCUACGACUUUACAUCCACAAAUGGUGUCUUUCCAGGAGAUAACGAGACUUAUGCAACAGUGCGAGCUAAUAGACAGUCUCCAAGUGGAAACCACGUCCACUUACCCUACAAACACACUGAGCCGAGGAACUCGCAUAGCUGCGAGCUCGAUCACUCUGUUCUCCGGUAUCUUGCCAGGCACAAAAUGGUGCGGUACGGGUGACAUAGCCGAAAAUUAUCACGAUCUAGGUGAUUUACCUCACAUAGACAGGUGUUGUCGUACCCACGAUCUUUGCCCUAUAAAAAUCCGAGCUCAGCAAACCCGAUAUAAUUUGACUAAUUAUUCACUGUACACUAAAUCACAUUGUACUUGCGAUAGCGCUCUUUAUCAAUGCUUAAAAGCUGCCAAUCAUCCGACGGCGAAUUUGAUGGGACAAAUAUACUUCAAUUUCGUCAAGGUGCCAUGUAUAGAAGAUACAGAAAAAUCCCGAUAUUCUUCUUCAGAAUCAUCAAGAAAAUUUGUAUCUGUGAAGAGAGAAUAUUGACUUGAUAGAAUAUACCAGACACACAUUUUCUCUCAUAUGUACGUAAGUCGCCAAAUUCCUUUUUGUCAACAUCCGUUUGUGUUUAUGCAUAAUGUUUAAUUGAGAGAACAGCCUGAUUAAUUCUUGGCAAAAACUCUAUAAGAUU